AGUGAACGCUGGCGGUAGGCCUAACACAUGCAAGUCGAACGGCAGCACAGGAGAGCUUGCUCUCUGGGUGGCGAGUGGCGGACGGGCGAGGAAUACAUCGGAAUCUACUCUGUCGUGGGGGAUAACGUAGGGAAACUUACGCUAAUACCGCAUACGACCUACGGGUGAAAGCAGGGGAUCUUCGGACCUUGCCCGAUUGAAUGAGCCGGUGUCGGAUUAGCUAGUUGGCGGGGUAAAGGCCAACCAAGGCGACGAUCCGUAGCUGGUCUGGGAGGAUGAUCAGCCACACUGGAACUGAGACACGGUCCAUACUCCUACGGGAGGCAGCAGUGGGGAAUAUUGGACAAUGGGCGCAAGCCUGAUCCAGCCAUACCGCGUGGGUGAAGAAGGCCUUCGGGUUGUAAAGCCCUUUUGUUGGGAAAGGAAUCCAGCUGGCUAAUACCCGGUUGGGAUGACGGUACCCAAAGAAUAAGCACCGGCUAACUUCGUGCCAGCCGCCGCAGUAA
rnacentral:rRNA from 1 species